rnacentral:rRNA from 1 species
GUAGGUGGCGAGCGUUGUCCGGAAUUAUUGGGCGUAAAGCGCGCGCAGGUGGGAUCUUAAGUCUGUUUUUAAAGUGCGGAGCUCAACUCCGUGAUGGGAUGGAAACUGGGAUUCUUGAGUAUCGGAGAGGAAAGCGGAAUUCCCCGUGUAGCGGUGAAAUGCGUAGAUAUGGGGAGGAACACCAGUGGCGAAGGCGGCUUUCUGGACGAUGUCUGACACUGAGGCGCGAAAGCUAGGGGAGCGAACGGGAUUAGAUACCCCGGUAGUCCUAGCCGUAAACGAUGGGUACUAGGUGGUGGGGGGUGUCAACUCCUCCCGUGCCGGCGCUAACGCAAUAAGUACCCCGCCUGGGGAGUACGGCCGCAAGGUUG